rnacentral:rRNA from 1 species
ACCCAGCAUGAGUUAUGUCAUGUUAUCGAUAUGUGAAUACAUAGCAUAUCAGAAGGCACACCCGGAGAACUGAAACAUCUUAGUACCCGGAGGAAGAGAAAGAAAAUUCGAUUCCCUUAGUAGCGGCGAGCGAAACGGGAAGAGCCCAAACCAACAAGCUUGCUUGUUGGGGUUGUAGGACACUCUAUACGGAGUUACAAAGGACGACAUUAGACGAAUCAUCUGGAAAGAUGAAUCAAAGAAGGUAAUAAUCCUGUAGUCGAAAAUGUUGUCUCUCUUGAGUGGAUCCUGAGUACGACGGAGCACGUGAAAUUCCGUCGGAAUCUGGGAGGACCAUCUCCUAAGGCUAAAUACUCUCUAGUGACCGAUAGUGAACCAGUACCGUGAGGGAAAGGUGAAAAGCACCCCGGAAGGGGAGUGAAAUAGAACCUGAAACCGUGUGCUUACAAGUAGUCAGAGCCCGUUAAUGGGUGAUGGCGUGCCUUUUGUAGAAUGAACCGGCGAGUUACGAUUUGAUGCAAGGUUAAGCAGUAAAUGUGGAGCCGUAGCGAAAGCGAGUCUGAAUAGGGCGUUUAGUAUUUGGUCGUAGACCCGAAACCAGGUGAUCUACCCUUGGUCAGGUUGAAGUUCAGGUAACACUGAAUGGAGGACCGAACCGACUUACGUUGAAAAGUGAGCGGAUGAACUGAGGGUAGCGGAGAAAUUCCAAUCGAACCUGGAGAUAGCUGGUUCUCUCCGAAAUAGCUUUAGGGCUAGCCUCAAGUGAUGAUUAUUGGAGGUAGAGCACUGUUUGGACGAGGGGCCCCUCUCGGGUUACCGAAUUCAGACAAACUCCGAAUGCCAAUUAAUUUAACUUGGGAGUCAGAACAUGGGUGAUAAGGUCCGUGUUCGAAAGGGAAACAGCCCAGACCACCAGCUAAGGUCCCAAAAUAUAUGUUAAGUGGAAAAGGAUGUGGCGUUGCCCAGACAACUAGGAUGUUGGCUUAGAAGCAGCCAUCAUUUAAAGAGUGCGUAAUAGCUCACUAGUCGAGUGACACUGCGCCGAAAAUGUACCGGGGCUAAACAUAUUACCGAAGCUGUGGAUUGUCCUUUGGACAAUGGUAGGAGAGCGUUCUAAGGGCGUUGAAGCAUGAUCGUAAGGACAUGUGGAGCGCUUAGAAGUGAGAAUGCCGGUGUGAGUAGCGAAAGACGGGUGAGAAUCCCGUCCACCGAUUGACUAAGGUUUCCAGAGGAAGGCUCGUCCGCUCUGGGUUAGUCGGGUCCUAAGCUGAGGCCGACAGGCGUAGGCGAUGGAUAACAGGUUGAUAUUCCUGUACCACCUAUAAUCGUUUUAAUCGAUGGGGGGACGCAGUAGGAUAGGCGAAGCGUGCGAUUGGAUUGCACGUCUAAGCAGUAAGGCUGAGUAUUAGGCAAAUCCGGUACUCGUUAAGGCUGA